rnacentral:misc_RNA from 1 species
UCUAAGAGAAAGACGCGGUUGCGGAAACGUAACCGCACAACCUUGAUCAGCAGCCUGUAUUGCACACGCUGUUGGUCGGUGAAGGCGCAGGGACCAGGACGUUGUCCCCCCUGCCACAUGAGUGAGCUUGUCUUCUUGCUUUCGGGGCAUUCUGCCCCGCUCCCCUUUCUUUUCUUCAUGGGCCUGUAGCUCAGUCGGUUAGAGCGCAUGCCUGAUAAGCAUGAGGUCACUAGUUCAACUCUAGUCAGGCCCAUAGCAGGAAUCGAUCUUUGACAGAUAGCCGUGGUUUUAGCGAAGGCUUCAUAGCGCAGGGGCGUUAUGAGGUGAGAUCACGGGAGGGAAGGGACAUGAGGUAAUAUGGUCAAGCAACAAAGGGUCUACGGUGGAUGCCUAGGAGCUUCUAUACGAGGAAGGCCGUGGUAAGCUGCGAAAAGCCGCGAGGAGGAGCAAACAUCCUGUGAGUCGCGGAUGGCCGAAUGGGGAAACCCGG